rnacentral:rRNA from 1 species
AUUGAACGCUGGCGGCAUGCUAUACACAUGCAAGUCGAACGGUAACAGGCCGCAAGGUGCUGACGAGUGGCGAGCGGGUGAGUAAUGCAUCGGAACGUGCCCAGUCGUGGGGGAUAACGCAGCGAAAGCUGCGCUAAUACCGCAUACGAUCUAUGGAUGAAAGCGGGGGACCGUAAGGCCUCGCGCGAUUGGAGCGGCCGAUGUCAGAUUAGGUAGUUGGUGGGGUAAAGGCUCACCAAGCCGACGAUCUGUAGCUGGUCUGAGAGGACGACCAGCCACACUGGGACGGAGACACGGCCCAGACUCCUACGGGAGGCAGCAGUGGGGAAUUUUGGACAAUGGGCGCAAGCCUGAUCCAGCAAUGCCGCGUGCAGGAAGAAGGCCUUCGGGUUGUAAACUGCUUUUGUACGGAACGAAAAGGCUCUGGUUAAUACCUGGGGCUCAUGACGGUACCGUAAGAAUAAGCACCGGCUAACUACGUGCCAGCAGCCGCCGUAACAC